AAGUCGUAACAAGGUUUCCGUAGGUGAACCUGCGGAAGGAUCAUUAUCACGUUAUCCACGUAUCAACCAUUGUGAACUAGUGCUUGACCUUUAAAUUGGGAAGGUAGCGUUGGAAUAAACCGUUAUCAAACAAUAAUGAUUGGAAAUUGUUGAGGUUUAUGACAAUCAAACAUUUACUUGUUUACUUUCUAAUUUAAAGUGUAUUUUUCCAAUCAAUUCUUUCAUUAACCAUUUAAACCCAAAAUUUUUCUAAAUUUUGAACUGAUUUAAUUUCUUACUUUCUCUUUUUUUUUUUAAAAAAAGAAGAGAGAGAAGAAAUAAAUGAUUACGAAACAUAAGAACAACUCUUAGCAACGGAUAUCUUGGUUCUC
rnacentral:misc_RNA from 1 species